UACGAAGGGAGCUAGCGUUGUUCGGAAUCACUGGGCGUAAAGGGUGCGUAGGCGGCGCGGUAAGUCACUUGUGAAAUCUCUGAGCUUAACUCAGAACGGCCAAGUGAUACUGCAGUGCUAGAGUGUGGAAGGGGCAAUCGGAAUUCUUGGUGUAGCGGUGAAAUGCGUAGAUAUCAAGAGGAACACCUGAGGUGAAGACGGGUUGCUGGGCCAACACUGACGCUGAGGCGCGAAAGCCAGGGGAGCAAACGGG
rnacentral:rRNA from 1 species